UGUAGGCGUGUUCUUUUAUUGAAGUUGCAUUAAAUGCUUCUCCCAAAAGUUAUCUAAAGUACGGAAUGAAGGAAGAGGUUUAAGAAAUGAUCCUGUAUGUGUGCUAUGUUUCUCUUUAUCCAUAAUUGUUUAGAAUUAAGUAGACGUUAAAUAUCUUUUAUAAAAUGGCUUUGUUUGUGGUUGAAACUAGAAGUGUGUAUUCCAGAAUUGACAUUCUAGCUGAGACUGUUGUAGCUGAGUAGUAUAUUUUAAUCGAACCUCUUAUACGUCAUCUUUGGAGUAUUAUUUUUAAGACUGGAGGCCUGAUUGUGUGUUAGAGUACGUGCUAAGCCUUGCUCUGAGCUUCAGGUGGGCGGCACCUAAUGGAACCUAGCUGGAAGCUACCUUGCCCCGUGCACGUGCUUAAGAGUAUCAGAAUUCAUCCUUUGCAGCACUAGCAAAUGUUUUAGAAUGGUAGUGAAAUGAAAGAUGCUAUGGCAGUGUUUCAGCGCAAGUGUUUCUUCUUACAGAACUGAUCACAGAAGUGUUAGGAAGAAUCAAGUAUCCUACCGGUGAUGGUCAUUCUAAUCAGAAAAUGAAGUAGUUUGAAAUUUCAUAUAUAUAUUUAAAGGAAAAGGCUAUACCGUCUGUUUUGAAUUGUUUUAAAUUCAAUAAUAUGUUGUAUUAGGCCUUCUUAAUUUCUUCCUUUACAUUUUUGGAUGUGGGCUGUACUGAACGUGCUGGGGCACGUGGGGGUGAAGGGCUGCUGUCCGUGGCUGCCCUGCUGUGAUGGGAUCUGCUGCAGCCCUGCCUGUCUUGUAUUCAGCUGAAUAAUUCAGAAGCCAUUUUACCAUUUUCUUGCUUCCUUUUCUCAAAGUAUUGUUUAUAUCUGCCAAGUGUAGCAAUGAUUAAAUCUUGCAUUUGAGAGCUGUCAUAAUUUUCAUAACGUAUUUUGCUGGACUUUUCUUAUAAGAUAUUGUUUCUUAAAUAGAUAUUCUAUUCAUAGUGGACUGUACAUUGUCACUCUAUAGAGCAGGUUUGCUCAUCAGCUUUGUAGUUCAGUGCUCCAGUUGAUUGCAUUUUACAGAUAUCUGUGCUUGAUUUGUUGUUUGAGGUUUCCCCUUUUCUCUUUUUCCCAUUCAGUGAUUCAAACAUUCAAAAGAAAAGGUAUAUAAAAGUGAGCUUUGUCAUGAGCUCAGAAGUUGAUUGAAUAGCCAGCUUUUGUACUUCUGUGUAGCCCCAAAGAGGCCAAUGUAUUUUGAUCAAUUUUUAUUAAGGUUCUGAUAAAUUAGAUCGUUCUGAUAAGUAGUGCUGUAACUUCCGUUUGAGGAAGCAGAUAUUUUUAUAAACUCAAAAUACUUAUUAUGUGAAAAAGAAUCUUUGGACA
ensembl:lncRNA